UACGAAGGGGGCUAGCGUUGCUCGGAAUCACUGGGCGUAAAGCGCACGUAGGCGGCUUUUUAAGUCAGGGGUGAAAUCCUGGAGCUCAACUCCAGAACUGCCCUUUGAUACUGAGAGCUUCGAGUCCGGGAGAGGUGAGUGGAACUGCGAGUGUAGAGGUGAAAUUCGUAGAUAUUCGCAAGAACACCAGUGGCGAAGGCGGCUCACUGGCCCGGUACUGACGCUGAGGUGCGAAAGCGUGGGGAGCAAACAGG
rnacentral:rRNA from 1 species